rnacentral:rRNA from 1 species
AUUGAACGCUGGCGGCAGGCCUAACACAUGCAAGUCGAACGCGUGGCGGACGGGUGAGAAAUGUCGGGGAAACUGCCUGAUGGAGGGGGAUAACUAGGGGAAACGGAAGCAAAUACCGAAUACCUGCGGAUUAGAGCAGAUGGGGUUAGCCAGUAGGUGGGGUAAAGGCUCACCUAGGCGACGAUCCCUAGCCGGUCUGAGAGGAUGACCAGCCACACUGGAACUGAGACACGGUCCAGACUCCUACGGGAGGCAGCAGUGGGGAAUAUUGCGCAAUGGGCGAAAGCCUGAUGCAGCCAUGCCGCGUGUAUGAAGAAGGUCUUCGGGUUGUAAAGUACUUUCAGUGGGGAGGCGUUACCCAAACAAGAAGCACCGGCUAACUCCGUGCCAGCAGCCGCGGUAAUUC